UUUUCUGCACAAAAAGGGUUUUUAAAACAAAGAGAAAAUUUUCCUUAAAAGUUCUCUGAAAACUUCAGUUUUUCCGGGUUGGAUGUCUGAGCUGGUAUUCUGAUUUUGGGGAGAUAUUUUGAGUGUUGAUUCUGGGUCUUUCUCUGGUUUGGUUUUAGUGUUGCUGUUGGGUUUUGUUGGUUGUUCUUUCUUCAAAGUUCUGAUUAGUGUUCCAUCCUGUUUACUGCUUGUUUUUUGCUGCUACAAGGCCAAGCAACCUCAGGGCUGGAGUUUGAAAUGCUGACUUGUGAGAAACAACUCUAUAGCUGAUUUCUUGCAAGUUUGAAGCUUGGUUUGAAGGAUCUGGUGGCAGUGGAAAAACCUGAAGUUAGGAGAAAUUUUGCUUUUGUUUACUUUAAAAAUAAAUUCUUCUUUUUUUUAGAUGUUAGUUAUAUUUAGGAGUAUGCUGUAAAUUCAUGGACAUUCAGUAGUAAAAUAGACUGUUGGAGUGA